CUUGAUGUGGUUGUAGCUGAUCCUCUAGUGGAUAUGUGCUCGCCCGUCAUAUUUAUAUCUCCACCNGUGCANUUUUUGUAGACUUUGGAUGUGACACUUUCCGAGGUAACUCGGUCGGGAGGAAUGCUAUUCAUAGCUUUCCUUGAAUGUCCAAGUCUAUGUUUUUAUAUACUCCAAAGAAUGUAGUAGAAUGUAUAAUUGGGCCUUGUGCCUAUAAACUAUAUACAACUUUCAGCAACGGAUCUCUUGGCUCUCGCAUCGAUGAAGAACGCAGCGAAAUGCGAUAAGUAAUGUGAAUUGCAGAAUUCAGUGAAUCAUCGAAUCUUUGAACGCACCUUGCGCUCCUUGGUAUUCCGAGGAGCAUGCCUGUUUGAGUGUCAUUAAAUUCUCAACCUUACCAACUUUUUCAAUUUUGGUUUAGGAUUGGAUUUGGGGGUUAUUAUUUUGCUGGUUUCGAAAGAAAUCUGCUCCCCUUAAAUGUAUUAGCCGGUGUCCUUCGUAGACUUGUCUAUUGGUGUGAUAAUUAUCUACGCCAUUAGAUGUCUACAUUUACAGGAAAUACUGCUUCUAACAGUCCAUUUACUUGGACAACUAAUGACAAUUUGACCUCAAAUCAGGUAGGACUACCCGCUGAACUUAAGCAUAUCAAUAAGCGGAGGAAAAGAAACUAACAAGGAUUCCCCUAGUAACUGCGAGUGAAGCGGGAAAAGCUCAAAUUUAAAAGCUGGCAGUCUCUGAUUGUCCGCGUUGUAAUCUAGAGAAGCGUUACCCGCGUUGGACCGUGUACAAGUCUCCUGGAAUGGAGCGUCAUAGAGGGUGACAAUCCCGUCUUUGACACGGACUACCAGGGCUUUGUGGUGCGCUCUCAAAGAGUCGAGUUGUUUGGGAAUGCAGCUCAAAAUGGGUGGUAAAUUCCAUCUAAAGCUAAAUAUUGGCGAGAGACCGAUAGCGAACAAGUACCGUGAGGGAAAGAUGAAAAGAACUUUGGAAAGAGAGUUAAACAGUACGUGAAAUUGCUGAAAGGGAAACGCUUGAAGUCAGUCGCGUUGGCCAGGGAUCAACCUUGCUUUUGCUUGGCGUACUCUCUGGUUAACGGGCCAGCAUCAAUUUUGACCAUUGGAAAAAGGCUAGGGAAAUGUGGCAUCUUCGGAUGUGUUAUAGUCUCUAGUCGUAUACAGGUGGUUGGGAUUGAGGAAUCUCAGCACGCCGCAAGGCCGGGUUUAACCA
rnacentral:rRNA from 1 species